UACGGAGGGUGCAAGCGUUGUCCGGAAUCACUGGGCGUAAAGGGCGCGUAGGCGGCCGUGUAAGUCACUUGUGAAAUCCCGGGGCUCAACCCCGGGGCUGCAGGUGAGACUGCGUGGCUAGAGCACGGUAGAGGCGAGUGGAAUUCCCGGUGUAGCGGUGGAAUGCGUAGAUAUCGGGAAGAACACCGGUGGCGAAGGCGGCUCGCUGGGCCGUUGCUGACGCUGAGGCGCGAAAGCGUGGGGAGCGAACAGG
rnacentral:rRNA from 1 species